UUGGAGGGCAAGUCUGGUGCCAGCAGCCGCGGUAAUUCCAGCUCCAAUAGCGUAUAUUAAAGUUGUUGCAGUUAAAAAGCUCGUAGUUGAAUUUCGGGGUCAGUAGGUUGGUCAUGCCACUGGUAUGUACUGGUCUCACUGAUUCCUCCUUCCUGAUGAGCCGUAGUGCCAUUAAUUUGGUGUUGCGGGGAAUCUGGACUGUUACUUUGAAAAAAUUAGAGUGUUUAAAGCAAGCUAACGCUUGAAUACAUUAGCAUGGAAUAAUGAAAUAGGACGUUCGAUCCUAUUUUGUUGGUUUCUAGGAUUGACGUAAUGAUUAAUAGGGAUAGUUGGGGGCAUUAGUAUUCAAUUGUCAGAGGUGAAAUCCUUGGAUUUAUUGAAGACUAACUACUGCGAAAGCAUUUGCCAAGGAUGUUUUCAUUAAUCAAGAACGAAAGUUAGGGGAUCGAAGACGAUCAGAUACCGUCGUAGUCUUAACCAUAAACUAUGCCGACUAGGGAUCGGAUGAUGUUAAUUUUUUAAUGACUCAUUCGGCGCCUUACGGGAAACCAAAGUGUUUGGGUUC
rnacentral:rRNA from 1 species